UUAGAUUGUGGCGAACUACAGCUUCAGCUGACCACAGCAGAAUGGAAACGAGAAGGACAUCGCAGGAAAUCCUUCGUGUAGAACUCUGCAUUCCUUCUACCGAUUUCCUGUCGGUGAACGGAAAUCAGCAUGGAUUGUCUGUGCACAACGCCCUCAACUAGAUGACUUGGCAGACUGAGCUCAAUAGGAGACUGUUGCGCGGCGACUCUUCACACUGGAUUGCCUGUUGUGCCGGAGUUGGGUUGCAAACAACAGCUCAAAGUGUGCUUGUUGCAACGAAACACCUCAGUGUUCCCGUGGCCGUCGUCGGAAAUUUUACCUCUUAUACCUAUUCGAUAUGUGGACUGAUUUCUUUAAACUGUUCUUUAUUGUUCAGACGCGUAAUACUCCGGUGAAGCGCGUGGCAAGACAUGUGCAUGUAGUGUAAUUUUUUUUAUGCAAUUUAAGAAGGAAAAUAAAUUUGAGUCAUAAACCUUAA